rnacentral:rRNA from 1 species
UACGAGAGGUGGCAAGCGUUGUUCGGAAUUACUGGGCGUAAAGGGCGCGUAGGCGGCCUUAUAAGUCUCGUGUGAAAGCCCUCGGCUUAACUGAGGAUCUGCACGGGAUACUGUAGGGCUCGAGUUCGGGAGAGGAAAGCGGAAUUCCGGGUGUAGCGGUGAAAUGCGUAGAUAUCCGGAGGAACACCAGUGGCGAAGGCGGCUUUCUGGGUCCG